rnacentral:lncRNA from 1 species
UUGUCACUGGAAAGCGAAAUCUCGCAAAAGAGCUAGUAGAUGCUGAUCAUGCCAUGUAUAUCGAUAAUAUGCUUGGAAUCAGGUUUCAGCAAGAGCUAGGACCCAAUAGAGAGCCUAAACAAGACUUCACCAGCAGUGUGAAUGUUUUAUCCAUGAUAACUGAGCUCACAAGCAAAGCCGAAUGUUCUCAACCACUCUUUUCAAAGGAGUCCAUGUUUGAUCAAAAGUCAUCUCAAGAGUCUGUUGGGGAGCAAAAUGCACACCCUUUGAACAGGAGUGAAGAUCUUGGACCUGUGGAGCGGGCAACGCUUAGUACAUCAGUUAUCAAACAAUGUGAGCUGAUGUGAGACAUCCUAUGCUUCGUAAGUAUUUAAAAAAAUUUUUUUUUUUUUUUUUUGUAAUACUGAGUAUGUAGAUAAACUAUAAUUUUCCUAAUUGGUUUAUUUCAGAACAGAGAAGCUGGCGAGUUACACUCGACAAUGCACUUAAAGAAAAGUCCAGCUUUGGAAUGGCUUAGUAAUUAAUUUGUUUAUUUUCUAUUCGUUUUGUUUUCAGCAAGUUAUAAAUUUAAAUUUUUUUUUUUUUUUGUUAAUUACUGAGUAUGUAGAUAAACAUAAUUUUCCAAUUGGUUUAUUUCAGAACAGAGAAGCUGGCGAGUUACACUCGACAAUGCACUUAAAGAAAAGUCCAGCUUUGGAAUGGCUUGAAUUAAUUGUUUAUUUUCAUCGUUUUGUUUCAGCAGUGAUGUUCUAUAAGUGUGUUUUGUAGAAAUAGAGCAUUUUGUUUUAUGGAGUACAAUUUGUAUUGUUCAUUAUAGUCACAGUAAGAUCUUAAAAUCGUAAGAUUUUAACCAUGAAACUCUAUAUCAUAUUAUUUUUGAUGAAUCUAGUUUAAGAACUAAAGACUUGAUUUCCAGCUUUUUGGCAGGUCUUGUGUAUCUAUAAAUGGACAUGUGACUGAUGAAAUAUACAGUCGGUUUAUUGAUGGCUGUGUUGGCUAUGAUGGCUUUAAGUUCUGAACAGCAAAACUUUAUUUAGUAAUUAAAAGGAUUGGCAUUGACUUUCACUUUCACUUUUUUCACUUUUUCAUUUGACCUCUGUUUGAUUGUAAUCUUUUUGUGAGUGAAAAUGCUCUUUCUAGUUCUGUUGGAACAAACAAUAAAAAUAUAAUCUUCAGAUGAUGUGUAGUAGCUGUGGAAAAAGGUUAUUGUCAGAAGUGGGAUUCGAACCCACGCCUCCAGGGGAGACUGCGACCUGAACGCAGCGCCUUAGACCGCUCGGCCAUCCUGACUGUUAUUACAUGGUUAUUACACACCAUUAUAGCUAUUACAGUUUUACUAUCAUGCAUUUCUUGGUGAUUUUAAUUACAUCUACACAUCACUGGCUUCAUUAAUGUUAUAUUGUCCUAUGUGGAAUACAGCAUUCUUAGCUAAACAGGACAUACUCAAGCAUUUUUGGUAACGAUGACUCAUUGGCAAUUGUUGGAUGGCACAUAUCACAAGGUUUUAAAUGUUUCAGAUGAAAUAAAAUAGUCAUCCACCAGGGGGUGCAUGGCGGCUCAAACAUACACUGAGCAACACUUUAAUCUGGGGCCAGUUGCUUAAAUUUAGCCUCUCUAUGUUGUCUGACCAACUAGCAGUUAACCAAGUCUAAUCGGUCUUAUUUUUCAGAUUCAUUUUAGAAUAAUCUACAUUUCUAUGUAACUGAAUUGAAGUUAUUAAAGUUAUAACCAAUCUUAAAAAAUAAAUUAAAAUUACUUGUCAGACCUUGUAGUUGUAAGACGCCCCUGGAUGUUUGUCUUAUUGAAGAGAGACAUUUAUAUAAUCGUUGUAAUUUAUACGUUUUAAGGAUUGUUGCCACAGGGAUUACGAACCCCUGUGAUUGGUCCAUCCUAGUCAUCAGUGAGAGGAGAGCUGAGAUAAAUAAAUAAAUAAACCUGUAAAAAAUAUCUCGAAUAUUUGAUUCUGAAUGGUAAAUCGUCACAUUGAGAGAAAUACUUUUGUCUAAAUUUCCCAUGGUACAAAUUAACAAAAGUUAAAAAGAGCUAUCAUACACUUAGAAGACGUUAAUUUGUCGUUAAAUAGAUUAGAUCAUUA